GUGAGGAAUAUUGGUCAAUGGUCGCAAGACUGAACCAGCCAUGCCGCGUGCAGGAUGAAUGUUCUAUGAAUUGUAAACUGCUUUUCUAAGGGAAGAAACCUAUCUACGAGUAGGUAGUUGCCGGUACCUUAGGAAUAAGCAUCGGCUAACUCCGUGCCAGCAGCCGCGGUAAUACGGAGGAUGCAAGCGUUAUCCGGAUUCAUUGGGUUUAAAGGGUGCGUAGGCGGAUAUUUAAGUCAGUGGUGAAAUCUUGCGGCUCAACCGUAACAUUGCCAUUGAUACUGAAUGUCUUGAAUGCAGUUGAGGUAGGCGGAAUGUGUAAUGUAGCGGUGAAAUGCUUAGAUAUUACACAGAACACCGAUUGCGAAGGCAGCUUGCUAAACUGUGAUUGACGCUGAUGCACGAAAGCGUGGGGAUCAAACAGGAUUAGAAACCCCAGUAGUCC
rnacentral:rRNA from 1 species